AUUGAACGCUGGCGGCAGGCCUAACACAUGCAAGUCGAACGAGCGGCGGACGGGUGAGUAAUGUCUGGGAAACUGCCCGAUGGAUGGGGAUAACUACUGGAAACGGUAGCUAAUACCACAUACUAUCGGAUGUGCCCAUAUGGGAUUAGCUAGUAGGUGGGGUAACGGCUCACCUAGGCGACGAUCACUAGCUGGUCUGAGAGGAUGACCAGCCACACUGGAACUGAGACACGGUCCAGACUCCUACGGGAGGCAGCAGUGGGGAAUAUUGCACAAUGGGCGCAAGCCUGAUACAGCCAUGCCGCGUGUAUGAAGAAGGCCUUCGGGUUGUAAAGUACUUUCAGCGAGGAGGCGUUACUCGCAGAAGAAGCACCGGCUAACUCCGUGCCAGCAGCCGCGGUAAUUC
rnacentral:rRNA from 1 species